AUUGAACGCUAGCGGCAUGCCUUACACAUGCAAGUCGAACGAGUGGCGGACGGGUGAGUAAUGUGUGGGAACGUGCCCAAUAGCGGGGGAUAACUAAUCGAAACUGUGGAUAAUACCGCAUACUCUUGGAUCGGCCGAUAUGGGAUUAGCUAUUUGGUGGGGUAAAGGCUCACCAAGGCAACGAUCCCUAGCUGGUUUGAGAGGAGGACCAGCCACACUGGAACUGAGACACGGUCCAGACUCCUACGGGAGGCAGCAGUGGGGAAGAUUGCACAAUGGGCGCAAGCCUGACGGAGCAAUGCCGCGUGUAUGAAGAAGGUUUUCGGGUCGUAAAGUACUGUCAGUAGGGAGGCGUUAUCUAAAGAGGAAGCAACGGCUAACUCCGUGCCAGCAGCCGCGGUAAUUC
rnacentral:rRNA from 1 species